rnacentral:rRNA from 1 species
AAUCAACGCUGGCGGCGCGCCUAACACAUGCAAGUCGAACGAGAAAGCGGAGCAAUCCGCAAGUAAAGUGGCGUACGGGUGAGUAACACGUGGAUCAUCUACCUUUUUGUGGGGAAUACCGCUGGGAAACCGGUGACAAUACCGCAUAAUCUCGAGAGAGGAAAGCCGCAAGGCGCAGAAAGAGGAGUCCGCGGUCGAUUAGUUAGUUGGCGAGGGUAAAAGACCUACCAAGACNGUGAUCGAUAGCCGGCCUGAGAGGGCACACGGCCACACUGGCACUGAAACACGGGCCAGACUCCUACGGGAGGCAGCAGUGGGGAAUCUUGCACAAUGGGGGAAACCCUGAUGCAGCGACGCCGCGUGAGCGAUGAAG